AAACAAGAAGCACCUUACUGCGCCAUGACUUCGGAUCACGGAAAGACAGCUUCUGUCCUUGUUUU
rnacentral:tRNA from 1 species